UGGGGAUGGCGGCAUGCUAUAAUGCAGUCGAGCGAAUGGAUUAAGAGCUUGCUCUUAUGAAGUUAGCGGCGGCCGGGUGAGUAACACGUGGGUAACCUGCCCAUAAGACUGGGAUAACUCCGGGAAACCGGGGCUAAUACCGGAUAACAUUUUGAACCGCAUGGUUCGAAAUUGAAAGGCGGCUUCGGCUGUCACUUAUGGAUGGACCCGCGUCGCAUUAGCUAGUUGGUGAGGUAACGGCUCACCAAGGCAACGAUGCGUAGCCGACCUGAGAGGGUGAUCGGCCACACUGGGACUGAGACACGGCCCAGACUCCUACGGGAGGCAGCAGUAGGGAAUCUUCCGCAAUGGACGAAAGUCUGACGGAGCAACGCCGCGUGAGUGAUGAAGGCUUUCGGGUCGUAAAACUCUGUUGUUAGGGAAGAACAAGUGCUAGUUGAAUAAGCUGGCACCUUGACGGUACCCAACCAGAAAGCCACCGGCUAAAUACGGCCAACAGCCGCGGGUAAUAAGUAAGUGGGAAAGCGUUUCCCGGAAUUUGGGUCGUUAACGGCGGGCAGGGGUUUUUUAAGUCGUAGUGAAAAGCCCAGGGCUCACCCGGGGAGGGUCUUUGAAAAAUAGGAAAAUUGUUUGGGAAAAAAGGAAAGGGGAUCUCCUUUUGUUCGGGUAUAUUGGUUAAA
rnacentral:rRNA from 1 species